CGAUAACGAACGAGACCUUAACCUACUAAAUAGCUCGACUAACAUUUUGUUGGUUUGUCAGCUUCUUAGAGGGACUAUCGAUUUCAAGUCGAUGGAAGUUUGAGGCAACAACAGGUCUGUGAUGCCCUUAGACGUUCUGGGCCGCACGCGCGCUACACUGACGGAGCCAGCGAGUAUAAUCCUUGUCCGAGAGGUCUGGGUAAUCUUGUUAAACUCCGUCGUGCUGGGGAUAGAGCAUUGUAAUUAUUGCUCUUCAACGAGGAAUUCCUAGUAAGCGCGAGUCAUCAGCUUGCGUUGAAUACGUUUCUGCCCUUUGUACACACCGCCCGUCGCUACUACCGAUUGAAUGGCU
rnacentral:rRNA from 1 species